UACGUAGGGUGCGAGCGUUGUCCGGAAUUAUUGGGCGUAAAGAGCUCGUAGGCGGCCUGUCGCGUCGGAUGUGAAAGCCCCGAGCUCAACCUGGGAAUGGCAAUGGAAACUGGCGAGCUAGAGUACGGUAGAGGAGAGUGGAAUUCCCGGUGUAGCAGUGAAAUGCGCAGAUAUCAGGAGGAACACCGGUGGCGAAGGCGGUUCUCUGGGAAUAUCCUGACGCUGAGGAGCGAAAGUGUGGGGAGCGAACAGG
rnacentral:rRNA from 1 species